UACGUAGGUGACAAGCGUUGUCCGGAUUUACUGGGCGUAAAGAGCGCGCAGGCGGUCGUUCAAGUCGAGUGUGAAAGCCCCCGGCUCAACUGGGGAGGGUCAUUCGAUACUGAUCGACUCGAAGGCAGGAGAGGGAAGUGGAAUUCCCGGUGUAGUGGUGAAAUGCGUAGAUAUCGGGAGGAACACCAGUGGCGAAGGCAGGUCUCUGGGCCACUACUGACGCUGAGAAGCGAAAAGCGUGGGGAGCGAACAGG
rnacentral:rRNA from 1 species